rnacentral:tRNA from 1 species
GGAGAGAUGGCCGAGCGGUCUAAGGCGUAGCAUUGGAAAUGCUAUUUAAAGGAUACUUUAACAAGGGUUCGAAUCCCUUUCUCUCCG